rnacentral:rRNA from 1 species
ACGGGAGGCAGCAGUGAGGAAUAUUGGUCAAUGGACGAGAGUCUGAACCAGCCAAGUAGCGUGCAGGAUGACGGCCCUCCGGGUUGUAAACUGCUUUUAGUUGGGAAUAAAAAAGGGAACGUGUUCCCUAUUGUAUGUACCAUCAGAAAAAGGACCGGCUAAUUCCGUGCCAGCAGCCGCGGUAAUACGGAAGGUCCGGGCGUUAUCCGGAUUUAUUGGGUUUAAAGGGAGCGUAGGCGGGCCUUUAAGUCAGUGGUAAAAGCGUGUGGCUCAACCAUACCACGCCAUUGAAACUGGAGGCCUUGAGUGCACACAGGGAUGCUGGAAUUCGUCGUGUAGCGGUGAAAUGCAUAGAUAUGGCGAAGAACUCCGAUUGCGUAGGCAGCUGACCAGGCCGUAAAUGACGCUCAUGCACGAAAGUGCGGGGAUCGAACAGGAUUAGAUACCCUGGUA